UACGGGGGGGCAAGCGUUGUUCGGAAUUACUGGGCGUAAAGGGCUCGUAGGCGGCCAACUAAGUCAGACGUGAAAUCCCUCGGCUUAACCGGGGAACUGCGUCUGAUACUGGAUGGCUUGAGAUUGGGAGAGGGAUGCGGAAUUCCAGGUGUAGCGGUGAAAUGCGUAGAUAUCUGGAGGAACACCGGUGGCGAAGGCGGCAUCCUGGACCAACACUGACGCUGAUGAGCGAAAGCCAGGGGAGCAAACGGG
rnacentral:rRNA from 1 species